CACAAAAAGUCACUACAUAUGUCCCAAAGAAGGCCAAGUCAGAGGGCUGAGGGAGUUAAAGACAGAGAGACUGCGGGAUCAGCACCCUCCCUUUCUCAGGCCACGUGAUGAGCCACAUUAAGCCGGUGUGUCUGAGUGUCAUAAGGAGCCUGAAAAGGACUUUGUGUGCCCAAUUUAUUGACCUUCACAAAGGAUUAUAUUGAAACCAUCUCAGACAGUCACUUUCAAAUACUUGAACGAAACUCUCAAAUAUAGUUAGGGAUGGAUUCAUAAAGAGGUGGAACCUGAAGAGGAGCCAUAGCAUUUGAAUUGAUGGAAAUGAAAGAAACAGACAUUACAGACUACUCUCAUUCUCGGCCCACGGAGGAAAUCAGAAGAUAAUCUAAAAUUAAAUGAUGAUGGCUCAAAGCUUAAAGCACUUAAAAAGAGAGAGAGGGAAAAAAACCGCAUCACAUCUUGAAAGGGCUGGGAAUGAGGACUGGAAGAUUGCCAAGGAAGCCCAGAAGUGCUGUUGACAAGUGGGCCUUUGGUACGUUGUGUGACCAGAGAGGACCUGUAAGACAUUCUCCUUCCUCAUGCUCUGUGAUGGUGUUUGAGGUUAUGAAAACCUAGGAGAGAGUUGAGAAAGAAUGGAAAGCAGGUAUACACAGAGCACUAGUGAGUUAGGAAAACCAAGUUGAACACUUGAUUUACUAGUUACCAUGUUGUAAUAUAAACCUACUCAGCAUUUCUUUCUGUACCUAAAAUGACAUCCUCAUAGAAUAUGAAAAUUAAAAUCAAAUUAUAUAUAUGCACACACGUAUAUC